AACGAACGCUGGCGGCAUGCCUAACACAUGCAAGUCGAACGAUCCCUUCGGGGAUAGUGGCGCACGGGUGCGUAACGCGUGGGAACCUGCCCUUAGGUUCGGAAUAACUCAGAGAAAUUUGAGCUAAUACCGGAUAAUGUCUUCGGACCAAGGAUUUAUCGCCUUUGGAUGGGCCCGCGUUGGAUUAGCUAGUUGGUGGGGUAAAGGCCUACCAAGGCGACGAUCCAUAGCUGGUCUGAGAGGAUGAUCAGCCACACUGGGACUGAGACACGGCCCAGACUCCUACGGGAGGCAGCAGUGGGGAAUAUUGGACAAUGGGCGAAAGCCUGAUCCAGCAAUGCCGCGUGAGUGAUGAAGGCCUUAGGGUUGUAAAGCUCUUUUACCCGGGAUGAUAAUGACAGUACCGGGAGAAUAAGCCCCGGCUAACUCCGUG
rnacentral:rRNA from 1 species